rnacentral:rRNA from 1 species
UACGUAGGGUGCAGGCGUUAAUCGGAAUUACUGGGCGUAAAGCGUGCGCAGGCGGUUUUGUAAGACCGAUGUGAAAUCCCCGGGCUUAACCUGGGAACUGCAUUGGUGACUGCAAGGCUUGAGUGUGUCAGAGGGAGGUGGAAUUCCGCGUGUAGCAGUGAAAUGCGUAGAUAUGCGGAGGAACACCGAUGGCGAAGGCAGCCUCCUGGGAUAACACUGACGCUCAUGCACGAAAGCGUGGGGAGCAAACAGG